ensembl:snRNA U6 U6 spliceosomal RNA
GUGUUCAUUUUGGCAAUACAUAUUCCAAAAUUAAAAUGACACUGAGAAUAUUAAUAUAGUCCCUGGAAAAGAAUGACACGCUCAUUUGAGAAGUGUCUUGUAUUUUC